GUACCCUCUUCGGUAGUACAUAUACUAAAAUUAAAAUAUUACAGAGAAGAUUAGCAUAGCCUCUGCGCAAGAAUGACACGCAAAAUCAUGAAGCUUUUCUUAUUUUU
rnacentral:snRNA from 1 species